rnacentral:rRNA from 1 species
UACGAAGGGGGCUAGCGUUGUUCGGAAUUACUGGGCGUAAAGGGCGCGUAGGCGGUGGAUCAAGUCAGGCGUGAAAGCCCCGGGCUCAACCUGGGGACCGCGCUUGAGACUGGUGCGCUAGAGUUCGGGAGAGGAUGGUGGAAUUCCCAGUGUAGAGGUGAAAUUCGUAGAUAUUGGGAAGAACACCGAUGGCGAAGGCAGCCAUCUGGACCGACACUGACGCUGAGGCGCGAAAGCGUGGGGAGCAAACAGG